rnacentral:rRNA from 1 species
AUUGAACGCUGGCGGCAGGCCUAACACAUGCAAGUCGAGCGGAUGAAGGGAGCUUGCUCCUGGAUUCAGCGGCGGACGGGUGAGUAAUGCCUAGGAAUCUGCCUGGUAGUGGGGGAUAACGUCCGGAAACGGGCGCUAAUACCGCAUACGUCCUGAGGGAGAAAGUGGGGGAUCUUCGGACCUCACGCUAUCAGAUGAGCCUAGGUCGGAUUAGCUAGUUGGUAGGGUAAAGGCCUACCAAGGCGACGAUCCGUAACUGGUCUGAGAGGAUGAUCAGUCACACUGGAACUGAGACACGGUCCAGACUCCUACGGGAGGCAGCAGUGGGGAAUAUUGGACAAUGGGCGAAAGCCUGAUCCAGCAAUGCCGCGUGUGUGAAGAAGGUCUUCGGAUUGUAAAGCACUUUAAGUUGGGAGGAAGAGCAGUGAGUUAAUACCUUGCUGUUUUGACGGUACCAACAGAAUAAGCACCGGCUAACUUCGUG